GGGCUCUGCAGAUGCUUCUCUACUUGUUAGCUUUGUCGAACAACCAGGACAACUGGCACAUAUUAUAAUCGCGAUUUGGUACUGCUUAUGAGGACACACAAAUUGUUGUACGUUUUUGUACUGUCUUUGCUCAAACGGCACCAUCUUUUAUUCUGUCAAGAUUUCCGCUCAUCAAAGUUUUUAAACUCUAUUUUAUGACCUAACAAAAUGGAUAUGAGACAGAGUUAAAAAAAAAAAAAAAUAUUUUAGCAACCUCUCUGGAGCAUUUCUGUGUAGGUUCCCACAACAUCCUAUUCACUAUGACAGUGUCAUGUAGAGCAGCUGAAGGCAAUAGUUAGAAUACAGAAGCUGAACACAGAAGAAGUGGAAAGAAAAUGUCAUGGCUAGUUUUCAUAAUCUGGGAAUGUAUGAACAUGCUGUGUCAGAUAAAAGGGCAUUUGUACUGAUAAUGCUUUGCUGACUUUUUGUGUGCCACUAAUUUUUUGACUCUUUAGCUGUAAUUAUAUACCACUAAAUGGGUACUAGGAAUGAAUAGAGAGUUUCAGGAUUGCAGACAUCCUAGCAAAAAAAUGAAUGGUCACUACAUAAUUUAAAAAAAAAUGCAUAUAUGUUGUGUGCAAAAACAGCAAUUUAUGACAACUGUUUUUGUAGCAUUAGUGUUUAGAAAUGAUUCACUUGUAGACAUGUGUCAUUAUUAGGAUACAAUUAAGCAAGCAAACUGCACCAAUAAUGGUGUAUGAUUUAUCUAACUUACUUAUAAAUGUAAAUCUCACACUUUUGCUAUUCUGUAAAUGCAGAAUGAUAGAAGAAAAAAGACCAGCAAAUUAACUAAUAGGAUCAAUUAGAGAUGAAAAUGGUCGGAACAAAAGCCUACAGCUACAGUGCUCCCCUGGGACUGGGAUUGGAAAGCACCAUUCUAGACAGAACUAAACUGAAAAAGAAACAACCAUGUAAUAAAUACUCUCCAUUGUAUCUGGUCAAUCACGUCUUAGGUUGUGUUUGUAACUAAUGCCACGUGAUAUUCGUAAGCCUAUCCCCUUUGAUACAUUUUAGAUUUUGUCUCAUUAUAAUCAUUAUAAAAUUUAAAUAUAUGAAGAAAGAUAAAAAAUAAAAUAAAGGAAAAGGAGGGAAUUUAUAGUCGAAGAAGCUUCUGUAUAUAGUCUCUUCUCUGUAGUCAUUUCCUGUGACAAAAAAGGUGUGGUGCUUGUCAAAAUUCUGUUUUUAAUAAAGACGGCAAAACCA